rnacentral:rRNA from 1 species
AUACGGAGGAUCCGAGCGUUAUCCGGAUUUAUUGGGUUUAAAGGGAGCGUAGGCGGACGCUCAAGUCAGUUGUGAAAGUUUGCGGCUCAACCGUAAAAUUGCAGUUGAUACUGGGUGUCUUGAGUACAGUAGAGGCAGGCGGAAUUCGUGGUGUAGCGGUGAAAUGCUUAGAUAUCACGAAGAACUCCGAUUGCGAAGGCAGCCUGCUGGACUGUAACUGACGCUGAUGCUCGAAAGUGUGGGUAUCAAACAGGAUUAGAUACCCUGGUAGUCCACACAGUAAAUGAUGAAUACUCGCUGUUUGCGAUAUACAGUAAGCGGCCAAGCGAAAGCGUUAAGUAUUCCACCUGGGGAGUACGCCGGCAACGGUGAAACUUAAAGGAAUUGACGGGG